GACGAACGCUGGCGGCGUGCUUAACACAUGCAAGUCGAACGGAAAGGCCCUUCUUUUGUGGGGUGCUCGUGUUGCGAACGUGUGAGUAACCCUUGUGUAUCCUUCCCUUUACUUUUGUAUAUCUUCUGGUAACUGGUUCUAUUACCUUAUAUGCUCUCCUGCUGCUUGGUGUUGGUUGGUAAGUUUCGGCUGUUGGGUAUGGACUCGCUGCUUAUCAGCUUUUUUGUGUGGUAGUGGCUUACCAAGGCUUUGACGGGUAUCCGGCCUGAGAGGGUGACCGGCCACAUUGGGACUGAGAUACGGCACAGACUACUACGGGAGGCAGCAGUGGGGAAUAGUGCAAAAUGGGCGGAAGCCUGAGGCAGAAACGCCGCGUGCGGGAUGAAGGCCUUCGGGUUGUAAACCGCUUUCGACUGUGACGAAGCGUGAGUGACGGUAAUGGGUAAAGAAGCACCGGCUAACUACGUG
rnacentral:rRNA from 1 species